rnacentral:rRNA from 1 species
AGAGUUUGAUCCUGGCUCACGACGAACGCUGUCGGCGUGCUUAACACAUGCGAGUCGAACGAUGAACCCUUCGGGUGGAUUAGUGGCGAACGGGUGAGUAACUCGUGGGUGAUCUGCCCUGCACUUUGGGAUAAGCCUGGGAAGGUGGGUCUAAUACCGAAUAUUCCUUGCCGGCUGCAUGGUUGGUGGGGGAAAGCUUUUGCGGUGUGCGAUGAGCCUGCGGCCUAUCAGCUUGUUGGUGGGGGUGAUGGCCUACCAAGGCGUCGACGGGGUAGCCGGCCUGGAGAGGGGUGUCCGGCCACACUGGGACUGAGAUACGGCCCAGACUCUUACGGGAGGCAGCAGUGGGGAAUAUUGCACAAUGGGCGAAAGCCUGAUGCAGCGACGCCGCGUGGGGGAUGACGGCCUUCGGGUUGUAAACCUCUUUCAGUAGGGACGAAGCGUGAGUGACGGUACCUACAGAAGAAGCACCGGCCAACUACGUGCCAGCAGCCGCGGUAAUACGUAGGGUGCGAGCGUUGUCCGGAAUUACUGGGCGUAAAGGGCUUGUAGGUGGUUUGUCGCGUUGUUCGUGAAAACUCACAGCUUAACUGUGGGCGUGCGGGCGAUACGGGCAGACUGGAGUACUGCAGGGGAGACUGGAAUUCCUGGUGUAGCGGUGGAAUGCGCAGAUAUCAGGAGGAACACCGGUGGCGAAGGCGGGUCUCUGGGCAGUAACUGACGCUGAGGAGCGAAAGCGUGGGGAGCGAACAGGAUUAGAUACCCUGGUAGUCCACGCCGUAAACGGUGGGU